CAGAGGAUGUUUCUGGCGCGGUGCCUUCCGAGUUCCCUGGAACGGGACGCCACAGAGGGUGAGAGCCCCGUAUGGUUGGAUACUAAGCCUGUGUGAAACUCCUUCGACGAGUCGAGUAGUUUGGGAAUGCUGCUCAAAAUGGGAGGUAAAUCUCUUCUAAAGCUAAAUACCGGCCAGAGACCGAUAGCGCACAAGUAGAGUGAUCGAAAGAUGAAAAGCACCUUGAAAAGGGGGUUAAACAGUACGUGAAAUUGUUGAAAGGGAAGCGCUCAUGACCAGACUUGUGCUGGGCAGCUCAUCCGGGGUUCUCCCCGGUGCACUCUGCCCAGUUCAGGCCAGCAUCGAUUUUUGCUGGGGGAUAAGAACGGCAGGAACGUGGCCCUCCUUCGGGAGGGUGUUAUAGCCUGCCGUACGAUACCCUGGCGGAGAUCGAGGUUCGCGCAUCUGCAAGGAUGCUGGCGUAAUGGUCAUCAGCGACCCGUCUUGAAACACGGACCAAGGAGUCGUCCAUUAGAGCGAGCGUUUGGGUGUAAAACCCGCACGCGUAAUGAAAGUGAAAUUAGGUGAGAGCUUCGGCGCAUCAUCGACCGAUCCUGAUGUUCUCGGAUGGAUUUGAGUAAGAGUUUUAACGGACGGACCCGAAAGACAGUGAACUAUGCUUGUAUAGGGUGAAGCCAGAGGAAACUCUGGUGGAGGCUCGCAGCGGUUCUGACGUGCAAAUCGAUCGUCAAAUAUGAGCAUGGGGGCGAAAG
rnacentral:rRNA from 1 species